UAUCUUUAUAACGAGGCUUUCCACAAAAUUUGCAUGUAACCCGCUGUUCAUCCGCCCUCCAGUAAAUCAUGCAGUUGUCGCUGCAUACAUCUAUUACCUGAUACAAUAAACCAAGACCAGCUACGAGUUUCUGAACCUCGUAGUAUGAACCAGGAGCUACAUUAUCCUCGGGUAGAAUACCUUCUACAAAAUCAGCAAUCGCAUCCACACAGUCUUCAGCCAAAUUAUAAUC
rnacentral:lncRNA from 1 species